GCGGGAUGGGAGCUUUGGUAGGAACAGGUGGACUGCUGCGAUGCCAUUGGACGUAAUGACUCAACCAAGAUCAACCUCUUAAUCCGCGGGUUCGGGGUUCGAGUCCCUGGCGGCGCACCA
rnacentral:tRNA from 1 species